UACGAGGGGAGCAAGCGUUGUUCGGAUUUACUGGGCGUAAAGGGCGCGUAGGCGGCGUGACAAGUCACUUGUGAAAUCUCCGGGCUUAACUCGGAACGGUCAAGUGAUACUGUCGUGCUAGAGUACAGGAAGGGGCAACUGGAAUUCUCGGUGUAGCGGUGAAAAUGCGUAGAUAUCGAGAGGAACACCUGCGGCGAAGGCGGCUCUCUGGGACGGUACUGACGCU
rnacentral:rRNA from 1 species